CAGCAACUCACAGAUCAGGCAACCAGCUGGACCUCAUUUUUACACGCCAGCACAUACUACACCACCCAGCCCAUGGCUCUCUGACGUCCUUCGUGAACAUCGUACUGACCUCAGGGCAGCUGAGAGGAGAUGGCGGAAAUCUAAAGAUCCAGCAGAUCUAGAACAAGCUGCUGGAUGACAAUCAGUCAGGCUUCAAAAGUGGGCACUCCACCGAGACUGCCCUGCUGUCUGUCACCGAGUCGCUGAGACAGGCGAAAGCUGAAUCCAGAUCAUCCGUCCUGAUUCUACUGGACCUUUCUGCAGCCUUCAACACAGUCAACCAUCAGAUCUUACUCUCCACCCUCUCUUCACUGGGCAUCACAGGAACUGUGCUUGACUGGUUUAAUUCCUAUCUCUCAGCCCAACGACACCACAGUGACUGCUCAAAUCUCUGCUUGCCUGGCAGACAUCUUGGCCUGGAUGAAGGAACACCACCUGCAACUUAAUCCAGCCAAGACCGAACUCCUUGUCUUUCCAGCCAACCCUGCUGUUGAACACAUCAUCACUGUGCAGCUGGGUGCAACUACAGUAACGCCUCCCAAAACGGUCAGAAAUCUAGGGGUAACCAUCGAUAACAAACUACAUUUCACAGACCACAUCUCAAAGACCUCAAGAUCAUGUAGAUUUACACUCUAAAAUAUCAGGAAGACCCUUCCUCUCUGAACAUGCCACACAACUUCUUGUUCAGUCACUUGUCAGGCCUCCCUGCAUGUGCAAUUAUACCACUGCAAAUGAUCCAGAAUGCAGCAGCACGUCUGGUCUUUAAUCAACCAAAGAGAGCGCAUGUUACACCACUCCAUGUCUCUCUUCACUGGCUGCCAGUUGAUGCACGUAUCAAGUUCAAGGCUCUGAUGCUGGCAUACAAAACAGUCACUGGGUCUGCUCCAGCAUACCUAAAAUAAUUUCUGCAGAGCUACGUGCCCACUAGAAGCCUGCGGUCAGCUAAGGAAUGUCGCCUUGUUGUACCAACACAAAGAGGCACCAAAACAUUUUCCCGGACUUUCGGCUUCAUCAUACCAUGUUGGUGGAAUGACUUUCCCAACUCCAUCUGUGAAGCUGACUCACUUUCUGUCUUCAAAAAAACGGCUAAAAACACAUCUUUUCCAUGAGCACUUAACCAGCCACUUAAAAUCCUUGUUGCACUUUAAUCUGUUUUGAAUGCUAUUCUGAUGCUAGUGAAACUUUGUAAUAUGGCACUUUUUCGUACCACUGUCUCCUUAAGAUGAUUCGCUUAUGUUUUUCCUCUUUUGUAAAUCGCUUUGGAUUAAAGCGUCUGCCAAAUGAAUAAAUGUAAAUAUCUUCUGCUUUAGUGUAUUAAUUUUUAGUAAAUUAUAGAUUUACAAGCAUUCCUUUAGCAAACAAAACAGAAGUAGAACAAGCAGUCCUGCAGCAGAUGGUAUGGCCCCCACAAAGCCUGGACCUCAAAAUCAAUCAGAGUCAGUAUUGGAUUACAUAAAAAGAUAGAAGCAGUUGAGACAGAGUAAAGACAUAGAAGAAUCGUGGCAAGUUCUCCAAGAAGCUUGGCACAUCCUAUCUGCCAACAACCAAGAAAAAUUGUGUCCAGGUGCUAGUUUUAUAUGCAAAGGUUGGUCAUUCCAAAUAUUAAUUCUG